UACGUAGGGUCCGAGCGUUGUCCGGCAUUACUGGGCGUAAAGAGCUCGUAGGUGGUUUGUCGCGUUGUUCGUGAAAACUCACAGCUCAACUGUGGGCGUGCGGGCGAUACGGGCAGACUGGAGUACUGCAGGGGAGACUGGAAUUCCUGGUGUAGCGGUGGAAUGCGUAGAUAUCUGGAGGAACACCGGUGGCGAAGGCGGCAUCCUGGACCGGUAUUGACACUGAGGCGCGAAAGCCAGGGGAGCAAACGGG
rnacentral:rRNA from 1 species